GUGGAUUAGAUACCCGGGUAGUCCACGCCGUAAACGAUGGAUACUAGCUGUUCGGUAGUAAUACUGAGUGGCUAAGCGAAAGUGAUAAGUAUCCCACCUGGGGAGUACGGGCGCAAGCCUGAAACUCAAAGGAAUUGACGGGGGCCCGCACAAGCGGUGGAGCAUGUGGUUUAAUUCGAUGAUACGCGAGGAACCUUACCAGGGCUUAAAUGUAGUAUGACAGGUUUGGAAACAGACUUUUCUUCGGACAUAUUACAAGGUGCUGCACGGUCGUCGUCAGCU
rnacentral:rRNA from 1 species